CAARCGACUCUCGGCAACGGAUAUCUCGGCUCACGCAUCGAUGAAGAACGUAGCAAAAUGCGAUACUUGGUGUGAAUUGCAGAAUCCCGUGAACCAUCGAGUUUUUGAACGCAAGUUGCGCCCGAAGCCAUUCGGCCGAGGGCACGUCUGCCUGGGCGUCACGC
rnacentral:rRNA from 1 species